rnacentral:lncRNA from 1 species
ACCAUUUAAAAAAAAAUAUUGCAUAUAUAUUUACAUUUCAUCUACAUGAAAAAGACAUAUGAAUCAUUUCCAAGGAAUCCCAAAUAGCCAGUCAUUGUUGAACAUUAAAAAAAAUCAUACAUAAGAGAUACAUACCAGUUCAUAAAUACAUAAACUUUUUUCUCUUUUUCCCAUACUGGUUUCCCCUUCUGUCUUUACUUUCAUACUCUACAAUUGACGACAAUUCCUGGAUUCCCUGAAAACUAAAAAUAUAUUCAUACAUUCAUGCAUUUGCAUUUCGUUCAUAUAAACCAGAAAAAGCUCACAUUUUC